rnacentral:rRNA from 1 species
CAGAGAGAAGCGAUCCCGCGAGGAGGAGCAAAUCUGAAAAAAGACGUCCCUAGUUCGGAUUGUAGGCUGAAACUCGCCUACAUGAAGCUGGAAUUGCUAGUAAUCACAGGUCAGCAUACUGUGGUGAAUACGUUCCCGGGCCUUGUACACACCGCUCGUCACACCAUGAGAGUCGGGAACACCCGAAGUCCGUAGUCUAACCGCAAGGGGGGCGCGGCCGAAGGUGGGUCCGGUAAUUGGGGUGAAGUCGUAACAAGGUACC